ACGUGAGUAACCUGCCCUUGACUCUGGGAUAAGCCUGGGAAACUGGGUCUAAUACCGGAUAUGACUGUCUGACGCAUGUCAGGUGGUGGAAAGCUUUUGUGGUUUUGGAUGGACUCGCGGCCUAUCAGCUUGUUGGUGGGGUAAUGGCCUACCAAGGCGACGACGGGUAGCCGGCCUGAGAGGGUGACCGGCCACACUGGGACUGAGACACGGCCCAGACUCCUACGGGAGGCAGCAGUGGGGAAUAUUGCACAAUGGGCGCAAGCCUGAUGCAGCGACGCCGCGUGAGGGAUGACGGCCUUCGGGUUGUAAACCUCUUUCAGUAGGGAAGAAGCGAAAGUGACGGUACCUGCAGAAGAAGCGCCGGCUAACUACGUGCCAGCAGCCGCGGUAAUACGUAGGGCGCAAGCGUUAUCCGGAAUUAUUGGGCGUAAAGAGCUCGUAGGCGGUUUGUCGCGUCUGCUGUGAAAGACCGGGGCUCAACUCCGGUUCUGCAGUGGGUACGGGCAGACUAGAGUGAUGUAGGGGAGACUGGAAUUCCUGGUGUAGCGGUGAAAUGCGCAGAUAUCAGGAGGAACACCGAUGGCGAAGGCAGGUCUCUGGGCAUUAACUGACGCUGAGGAGCGAAAGCAUGGGGAGCGAACAGGAUUAGAUACCCUGGUAGUCCAUGCCGUAAACGUUGGGCACUAGGUGUGGGGGACAUUCCACGUUUUCCGCGCCGUAGCUAACGCAUUAAGUGCCCCGCCUGGGGAGUACGGCCGCAAGGCUAAAACUCAAAGGAAUUGACGGGGGCCCGCACAAGCGGCGGAGCAUGCGGAUUAAUUCGAUGCAACGCGAAGAACCUUACCAAGGCUUGACAUGAACCGGUAAUACCUGGAAACAGGUGCCCCGCUUGCGGUCGGUUUACAGGUGGUGCAUGGUUGUCGUCAGCUCGUGUCGUGAGAUGUUGGGUUAAGUCCCGCAACGAGCGCAACCCUCGUUCUAUGUUGCCAGCGCGUUAUGGCGGGGACUCAUAGGAGACUGCCGGGGUCAACUCGGAGGAAGGUGGGGACGACGUCAAAUCAUCAUGCCCCUUAUGUCUUGGGCUUCACGCAUGCUACAAUGGCCGGUACAAAGGGUUGCGAUACUGUGAGGUGGAGCUAAUCCCAAAAAGCCGGUCUCAGUUCGGAUUGGGGUCUGCAACUCGACCCCAUGAAGUCGGAGUCGCUAGUAAUCGCAGAUCAGCAACGCUGCGGUGAAUACGUUCCCGGGCCUUGUACACACCGCCCGUCAAGUCACGAAAGUUG
rnacentral:rRNA from 1 species